UGCUAAAACGGGCAAUUUAAUAGAUCAUCGUGAUGCACUUGUAGAAUUAGUUGCUUCUUCGGAAUAUGGAAUCCUUCAUUUGUUUAGUCAUCACCAGUUACAGGAAUUUUUAUUAAUUGAAAGGGAAUGCUCAUUACACGCAAUGGAGUACGAAGAAGAGUUGUCUGUCAUUAAUUCUCAACAAGAAUGAUGUUUACAAAUCUCAAGUACUCCAGAGUUGAAAUUGAUGAAGUGUGGUUCGAGUGGGCUGA